rnacentral:rRNA from 1 species
CCUACGGGAGGCAGCAGUGAGGAAUAUUGGUCAAUGGGCUUACGCCUGAACCAGCCAAGUCGCGUGAGGGAAGACUGCCCUAUGGGUUGUAAACCUCUUUUGUCAGGGAGCAACGCCGGCUACGUGUAGCCGGACUGAGAGUACCUGAAGAAAAAGCAUCGGCUAACUCCGUGCCAGCAGCCGCGGUAAUACGGAGGAUGCGAGCGUUAUCCGGAUUUAUUGGGUUUAAAGGGUGCGUAGGCGGAAUGCCAAGUCAGCGGUAAAAUCGCGGGGCUCAACCUCGCUCCGCCGUUGAAACUGGCGUUCUUGAGUGGGCGAGAAGUAUGCGGAAUGCGUGGUGUAGCGGUGAAAUGCAUAGAUAUCACGCAGAACUCCGAUCGCGAAGGCAAGUGUCCGGGGUGCAACUGACGCUGAGGCUCGAAAGUGCGGGUAUCAAACAGGAUUAGAUACCCCUGUAGUC